rnacentral:rRNA from 1 species
UACGGGGGGGCAAGCGUUGUUCGGAAUUACUGGGCGUAAAGGGCGCGUAGGCGGCGUAACAAGUCACUUGUGAAAUCUCCGGGCUUAACUCGGAGCGGUCAAGUGAUACUGUUGUGCUAGAGUGCGGAAGGGGCUACUGGAAUUCUCGGUGUAGCGGUGAAAUGCGUAGAUAUCGAGAGGAACACCUGCGGCGAAGGCGGGUAGCUGGGCCGACACUGACGCUGAUGCGCGAAAGCCAGGGAGCGAACGGG